GAUGAACGCUGGCGGCGUGCCUAAUACAUGCAGGUCGAGCGAACGGACGAGAAGCUUGCUUCUCUGAUGUUAGCGGCGGACGGGUGAGUAACACGUGGAUAACCUACCUAUAAGACUGGGAUAACUUCGGGAAACCGGAGCUAAUACCGGAUAAUAUUUUGAACCGCAUGGUUCAAAAGUGAAAGACGGUCUUGCUGUCACUUAUAGAUGGAUCCGCGCUGCAUUAGCUAGUUGGUAAGGUAACGGCUUACCAAGGCAACGAUGCAUAGCCGACCUGAGAGGGGGAUCGGCCACACUGGAACUGAGACACGGUCCAGACUCCUACGGGAGGCAGCAGGAGGGAAUCUUCCGCAAUGGGCGAAAGCCUGACGGAGCAACGCCGCGGGAGUGAUGAAGGGCUUCGGAUCGUAAAACUCUGUUAUUAGGGAAGAACAUAUGUGUAAGUAACUGUGCACAUCUUGACGGUACCUAAUCAGAAAGCCACGGCUAACUACGU
rnacentral:rRNA from 1 species